rnacentral:rRNA from 1 species
AUACGGAAGGUCCGGGCGUUAUCCGGAUUUAUUGGGUUUAAAGGGAGCGCAGGCGGAGAUGCAAGCGUGACGUCAAAUUUCGGGGCUCAACCCCGUCUCGCGUCGCGAACUGCGUCCCUUGGUUGCGGGAAGGGGAGGCGGAACUCGCGGUGUAGCGGGGAAAUGCAUAGCUAUCACGAAGAACUCCGAUCGCGAAGGCAGCCUUCCGGCCCGUCAACGACGCUCAUGCUCGAAGGUGCGGGUAUCAAACAGGAUUAGAUACCCUGGUAGUCCGCACAGUAAACGAUGGACACCCGCGGUUUGGCCUGUAUGGCUGAGCCGCCAAGCGAAAGCGUUAAGUGUCCCACCUGGGGAGUACGCCGGCAACGGUGAAACUCAAAUGAAUUGGCGGGG